AAGAAGUAUCAUUCUCAAGUUUUAUAAUCCACUUUCCAAAGAAACAUGGAAUCAUUUUAAAAACUUCUUGUGCUCAAAAAAUUAACAAGAAGCAAAAGAAAGAUUUAACUGAUUGUGAGUACUUAAAGUCAGGAGUUGUGCGACAUCAUUUAGGCUUCUGACAUACCAAUAGAGCAGCUAUGUGACAUCUAUGUAUGAAAAUUACUUUGUGGUAAUCAACUCAAUGGUUAUCUGCUCCACACACCUUCCUUUAGAAAAUGUUGAUAUUGAACUUUGUCACUGCAAUCUUUUAACAAACAUUUCCAUUAUGACAAAGAGCAUGCAACAUUUUCUUCUAUAAAUGGUCAGUGAACUACUUUACUUUACUUUUAUAUUCUCGGGACCAUUUUAAUUUUAAAUUUUGUAAAAAUUGGCAUUCAGAGUUUGAUUUGUCUUGAUGUUCAUUUUGGAUUAAUUAGCCCUAUGUUAAUUAAGCACAAUAAAAUUAGGUUCAAAUUUUCUUUAUCAUAUUUAAUGUAAUAGAGAUAACCGUAAA
rnacentral:lncRNA from 1 species